AAUGAACCGGCGAGUUACGAUUUGAUGCAAGGUUAAGCAGUAAAUGUGGAGCCGUAGCGAAAGCGAGUCUGAAUAGGGCGUUUAGUAUUUGGUCGUAGACCCGAAACCAGGUGAUCUACCCUUGGUCAGGUUGAAGUUCAGGUAACACUGAAUGGAGGACCGAACCGACUUACGUUGAAAAGUGAGCGGAUGAACUGAGGGUAGCGGAGAAAUUCCAAUCGAACCUGGAGAUAGCUGGUU
rnacentral:rRNA from 1 species